UACGUAGGUGGCAAGCGUUGUCCGGAGUUAUUGGGCGUAAAGCGCGCGCAGGCGGUGCGGUAAGUCUCUGGUGAAAGCGCUCGGCUUAACUGGGCGAGGGCCGGGGAGACUGCCACGCUGGAGGGGAGCAGAGGCGAGUGGAAUUCCGGGUGUAGUGGUGAAAUGCGUAGAGAUCCGGAGGAACACCAGUGGCGAAGGCGGCUCGCUGGGCUCUACCUGACGCUGAGGCGCGAAAGCGUGGGGAGCGAACCGGG
rnacentral:rRNA from 1 species